GGCAGUUGUCAGGUGAUGCACCCCGGAAUCGGGCUCCUCCUCUCUGGUUCUGGGGAGCAUCACCUGAGAACUGCU
rfam:Myotis davidii contig118164, whole genome shotgun sequence.